ensembl:lncRNA
AUUCACUAACAGGACACCUUCAGCAUCUCGGUUAAACGCAGGACGGCACAUACAGGUGUGACAGCACAACCCGCACAGCAGAAGCAGGCAGGUAAAGGGGACCGUCUGCAUCAGCUUCAUUAAACAAGGCACAGCAACGCUCACUGUUGCUUUAACUCUAACGAAAGCCUGCUCAAUUCAAGGUACCCAAGCUGCCCCACGUCCUGCGUUCAGCCUUCUCCCCUCCCGCCGCGCCUGCCAACAGGCCUCCCCGCCAAAGCCCAGGACAAGAGCGGUCCGGGGCAGGACGAGGUUCCGGCUGCGCCAGUCGCGGAGGAACAGGCCGAGAAGAUCCUGGCCUGGCCGCGCCUCACCGCCCGGUACCUGCGGGCCCCUGAAAUCCGCUGCCGCCUCCGCCGCUCCUCUUCCGCUCCGGAGCACUUUUCCGUGCGUCCCGCGCGCCGCCGCCAGCCCAGCACUGCGCAGGCGCCGCGCCGCCGAUUGGCCGCCGGCCGCUCCUCCCCCUGCUCUUUUUCUCCCUCCUCCCGGCCCGCUGUCCGGCUCUUCUCUGCCCCGGGAGGUACCGCCCGCCUUCUCCCGCCCGCCUCCUGUCCCGCCCUGGGGCGAAGCACUGCCCGCGAGGCGGCUCCUGGCGGCCGGGGGCCGGCCUUGUUCCUGCUGGCUGCGCGUUGGUGCCGCUGUUUGCGUGAUGAAAGGAUGCGAUCUAUCCCGUGCAGAGAGGGAAAUGAGGGGGAGGGGAAGAAAGUCUCCAAAACCAACCCGUCGCGCUCCCAGCUAUUACUAUAAAAUUCUAAGAGCAAUGAACAUAUGGCUGUUACUAUCAGCACUGGUGUAUUUGCAGCGAUGCCUAUCAACAUCCACCAGAGAGCAGGGCAGCUCCAAAACCCACAUCUUUCAUGCUGUGGAAAUUGAUGGAGACAGCAACACAGCCAGCUUCUUGGCCAAACAACAUGGAAUGCAGUUCAUUUCAAAGCCUGUAAGGCUUGUGCAUGAUGUAUGUGAGAACGAUUUCCAGCAGAGAAGCUUAUCACAGAUCUACCUAAAAGGUAAGGCUAUUUUUUUAAUUUUUAGUUCACAUGCAGAACAGCUGCCUGAAGAACACUUGCACACAGAACAAGAAAGACAUUUGGUUUAGGUUUUGAUUAUACACAU